rnacentral:rRNA from 1 species
AGUGAACGCUGGCGGUAGGCCUAACACAUGCAAGUCGAACGGCAGCACAGUAAGAGCUUGCUCUUACGGGUGGCGAGUGGCGGACGGGUGAGGAAUACAUCGGAAUCUACUUUUUCGUGGGGGAUAACGUAGGGAAACUUACGCUAAUACCGCAUCCGACCUACGGGUGAAAGCAGGGGAUCUUCGGACCUUGCGCGAUUGAAUGAGCCGAUGUCGGGUUAGCUAGUUGGCGGGGUAAAGGCCCACCAAGGCGACGAUCCGUAGCUGGUCUGAGAGGAUGAUCGGCCACACUGGAACUGGGACACGGUCCAGACUCCGACGGGAGGCAGCAGUGGGGAAUGUUGGACAAUGGGCGGAAGCCUGAUCCAGCCAUACCGCGUGGGUGAAGAAGGCCUUCGGGUUGUAAAGCCGUUUUGUUGGGAAAGAAAAGCAGCAGGUUAAUACCCCGCUGUUCUGACGGUACCCAAAGAAUAAGCACCGGCUAACUUCGUG